CAUAAUAUUGUUCAUUGGACUAUUUUUAACAAAACAACAUUUUAUUUUAAGUCUAUAUUUUUUAUCUUUAGUAUCUGUAAUUUGAAAAUGAAGUGUAAGGAAGAUCAACUUAUCAUCAAUACUGCCGGCAACGUAAACACAUGUACAAAUGCACAGUUUAAAAAUAAAGUUGGGAAAUGACUAAAUCCAAUACACAUAUAUUAUAUAUAUAUCGACCAAAGUGAAUUCACAUUUAAUCAACGUAUAGAUUUUUAAGAAUUACAAUGGCUAUCCCGUUUAUAGACGACGAGACAGAUCAUGAUACUUCAAUGCACUUACACGAAACAGCAUUGAUUUUUUGUACCUUGACAUUGUUUUUGGUUAUUCCUGUUAUCUUUUCUAUGUACAUGUAUUAUUGUUUAUAACACUUUUUGUAAAUUGUGUAUUUCCUGCUUAGACGUAAAAAAUAAAAACAUACUCAGAGGAAGAGACUCGGAUGUCAAGUGCAUGUGAGGCGUGAUAAAAUUAUUCAGAUGAUUAGAAAAUUAGUUUUGACGAUAAACUUUAUCAUACUUCUUGUAUAUCAAAGGAUGUAAAACGAGGGAUCAUGAAUACAACUCGAGCGUCUUAAACUUAUACAAUAUGAAAAGGACAAAUUUCCCUGAGUGAACCAGGCAUUCCACGAAUGACACAAAAAGUUUUUUACGGAAAUUCUGAGGUAAACUCAUUAACCAAAAAUAUCACAUUAACUUUCAUAGGCAGCAUUUCCAACAAUGUACCAGUAAGGUUUGCGUCAAAAAACAAUAAAAAAAGAAGUGUAUUUUCAGAAUAAAAAGUGUUCGGAGUAUUUCUUGAUAAACCGAAGUAUUCGAAAUACAACAUUCGAGUUGAUUCAUUUAAACAUUUCACGAGAUGUAUGGCACAGCUUCGGGAGGAAAUUAGUGUUGACAGAUUCCUUUUAACAGGUGAAAAGUUAUUUUUAAUGACAAUAUUUAUAUUAAAAAAAAACAUAACUUAUAAACGUGUUCUAUUAUUCUGCUUUCUUCUCUGAAAUUCUAUAGUCUGUAUCGAAUAACAUUUAAAAAGAUAUAAUUGUAUGUACUAAUAUUUGUGUAAACUGUCCUUUAUACAAUAGGUCAAAUGUAUCUAAAACCUGACUUUACAUCAAUCGAUCAUUCGAUUGUGAAAGAUACAAAUACAUGCAUGUGUACCAGAACAAUGCUUAUUAAAAAGUGUCAAAUUGUAAAAA